rnacentral:tRNA from 2 species
GGGCUCGUGGUCUAGCUGGUCAUGACGUCGCCUUGACAUGGCGGAGGUCCGGAGUUCGAAUCUCCGCGGGCCCA